GCUCAACCGGGGAGGGUCAUUGGAAACUGGGGAACUUGAGUGCAGAAGAGGAGAGUGGAAUUCCACGUGUAGCGGUGAAAUGCGUAGAGAUGUGGAGGAACACCAGUGGCGAAGGCGACUCUCUGGUCUGUAACUGACGCUGAGGCGCGAAAGCGUGGGGAGCGAACAGGAUUAGAUACCCUGGUAGUCCACGCCGUAAACGAUGAGUGCUAAGUGUUAGAGGGUUUCCGCCCUUUAGUGCUGCAGCAAACGCAUUAAGCACUCCGCCUGGGGAGUACGGUCGCAAGACUGAAACUCAAAGGAAUUGACGGGGGCCCGCACAAGCGGUGGAGCAUGUGGUUUAAUUCGAAGCAACGCGAAGAACCUUACCAGGUCUUGACAUCCUCUGACAACCCUAGAGAUAGGGCUUCCCCUUCGGGGGCAGAGUGACAGGUGGUGCAUGGUUGUCGUCAGCUCGUGUCGUGAGAUGUUGGGUUAAGUCCCGCAACGAGCGCAACCCUUGAUCUUAGUUGCCAGCAUUCAGUUGGGCACUCUAAGGUGACUGCCGGUGACAAACCGGAGGAAGGUGGGGAUGACGUCAAAUCAUCGUGCCCCUUAUGACCUGGGCUACACACGUGCUACAAUGGGCAGAACAAAG
rnacentral:rRNA from 1 species